rnacentral:tRNA from 1 species
GCCGGGGUGGCUCAGCCUGGUGGAGCGUCGGACUCAUAGAAUCCGAAGGUCCCGGGUUCAAACCCCGGCCCCGGCA